rnacentral:rRNA from 1 species
CAGUCGCCGCGGUAAUACGUAGGUCCCGAGCGUUGUCCGGAUUUAUUGGGCGUAAAGCGAGCGCAGGCGGUUAGAUAAGUCUGAAGUUAAAGGCUGUGGCUUAACCAUAGUACGCUUUGGAAACUGUUUAACUUGAGUGCAAGAGGGGAGAGUGGAAUUCCAUGUGUAGCGGUGAAAUGCGUAGAUAUAUGGAGGAACACCGGUGGCGAAAGCGGCUCUCUGGCUUGUAACUGACGCUGAGGCUCGAAAGCGUGGGGAGCAAACAGGAUUAGAGACCCGCGUAGUCCCUGUCUCUUAUACA